AUUGAACGCUGGCGGCAUGCUUUACACAUGCAAGUCGAACGGCAGCGCGGGCUUCGGCCUGGCGGCGAGUGGCGAACGGGUGAGUAAUAUAUCGGAACGUACCCAAGAGUGGGGGAUAACGUAGCGAAAGUUACGCUAAUACCGCAUACGAUCUAAGGAUGAAAGCAGGGGAUCGCAAGACCUUGUGCUCCUGGAGCGGC
rnacentral:rRNA from 1 species